GAUGAAGAACGCAGCGAAAUGCGAUAAGUAGUGUGAAUUGCAGAAUUCAGUGAAUCAUCGAAUCUUUGAACGCACAUUGCGCCCCUUGGUAUUCCAUGGGGCAUGCCUGUUCGAGCGUCAUUUGUACCUUCAAGCUUUGCUUGGUGUUGGGUGUUUGUCUCGCCUCCGCGUGUAGACUCGCCUCAAACCAAUUGGCAGCCGGCGUAUUGAUUUCGGAGCGCAGUACAUCUCGCGCUUUGCACUCACAACGACGACGUCCAAAAGUACAUUUUUACACUCUUGACCUCGGAUCAGGUAGGGAUACCCGCUGAACUUAAGCAUAUCAAUAAGCGGAGGA
rnacentral:misc_RNA from 1 species